CACUGCAAAUCAUGCCCAAAUAACAUCCCUGUUGUGAAUUAGCAUGGGAUUCAUCGUCAUGUUUUAAUUAAAGUGAACUAUGUGUAAGUUCUGUGUAACUAUGUGUUGUCAGUUAUACAUGUGGUUUUUAUGCCUUGGAAUAGGGUAAGCACCUCAGAGGCCAAGAGACCUGAAGGGUCAUCUCUACGCCAAGGAUCUCAGGGGAUAACAAAUGAAAUGCUCUUGGCAGCAGCUAAGAAAGAAGUCGAUGAGAUUUUUCAAGAAUCUGUCAGAAUAGUCAGUGGUUUGGAUCCAGUUGUGCCUGCCUUACCAGAGGGAUAUUCUUCCAUCUCCGAAAAGAAUGUGGAUUUGACAGCCUCAUGCACCAUUAAGGACUUUGACUCUGGUCCUACUACAGCACCUAUGAUGGUUGAGGACGCUAAAGCCUCAGGACUAUCACAAUCCAUCCCCUUGCUCAACCAGUUCACCGACACUGAAUUUCAACAAAGGGCAGCAAAGCAAGUGAGUGAGGUUUUGCUCAAAACUCUUGAAAAUGAAUCCCCAAUUGAGGAAUUUGCUGAAGAUGACGAGGAAUCAAACUCCAAAGCAGAAAGUCAAACAGACCUCUGUAGGGUUCAUGCUAUCUUUCCAUCUGGUCCCCUGUCAGAGUCUCUUGCAGUUGAUCUAGUUGAUGAUAUUAUUGAAUCCAUUAAGGACAAAGUCUCCGGCCAAGAGGUUUAUUCAACAUCAUAUGAUGUUGUUGGAUGUGUUAUUGAAGGGAUGAAAGAUCUUUUGGAGAAAACACGAGCCCUAGGAACUGUUGUUCCAAUGAAAAGGAUCUACAGGACAACAUGUCAAAUAAUGUUCAAUGCAAUUCAGAACAUGGUGGGGAAAUUGUUUUGCAAAUCUUUUCACUCUGACAGUGAAAAGAAAAUGACAGUGGCUUCUGCCAUCAAUGUCACUAGCCAAGCAAUUGUGUCCAUGCAGAGUGAACUUCCCGGUCUCAAGACGGCAGGAAAUCUAGAGCAGGUAGAGCUGAUUGAUAAGAUCCUUAGUGCUAUGUUGAAUGAAGUACAAGUGAUUGACAUUGAAACAGAAACAGACAGGUCACAAAGCCCUGGAUUGCCAUUGUCACACUCCUCAGUAUCAUUUCACUCAGAAAUAGAUGACCAAACCAAACUCCCUGGUACUGCUGUUCUCCCUGAAGUGUUUAUCGAAAGGAUUUCCCCUCUUCUGACGCAUACUUUUGUUGACAUGGAUGCUGCUUCAUUGUCUCCUGGAUGUGCAAAUGAAACCAUCAGUAGUGUGUUAGACACCAUCUUAGAAUGGGAAAAACGUGUACCCAUCACUGGAAGACUGGAGAAAUUGAUCACUGAAACACAAAUAGGUCAAUAUUCCUGUGAUAUUGCAGAUCGAGUACAUAAAACACUAAAAGGUUAUCAUGGUCUCCAGACCAUUUCCGUGCCAGUUGGAAAGAGUCUUUCAGAUUCUAUGCUUUGCAAAUUAACAUCUAGAGCUGAGGGAAAGAAUGAAAUUCCAUCAGAGUUCGUUUACAGUUAUGUAGAGGAGGCUGUGAAGCGACUACUCCUGUCAUGUUUGUUCCCCUCAGCAGCUUCUGAGAAUCAAGAACGUUUACAGAAUAAUCUAGAGACCUCAAAAUCAUCACCUGAGGUGUUUGGAAGUACAAUGAACGUAUUCACACAAGUGAUGACCAACGAAGUCAUGGUGGCACUCUCCACAGAGUUAAAGGAAAAUGUUUCUUCUGACUUGAAGGAAUUAGUUAAGGAGGAUCAGAAACUCUUAGACAAACGGGCACAGGACACUAAAACUAGAUCACCCACCACUAACUCAAACAAUCUGCCCCCUCGUACUUUUGACGAACAUACAGAUUUGAUGCAAAAUAGUCAGUGUGAAGGAGUCACCAGUUCAUGUCACCUACGUCUGUUAGAGUCCAACAAGAAGGACUAUGCCUCCUUGGUCUCCAUGCUGGUCAUUCGACUCCUGAAGAAAGUCAAUAGCUUACACCAGGACAUUGGCACCCACCAGGAUGGACUUCCAGAUAAUGUGCUGGAUAUGUCCAGAGACUUGAUUCGGAAGAUUCUGUCUGAGCUCGAUACAGCUUUUGGUAUGACAGGCGAUGAAACCUAUCCUAAGGAUGUGAAUUUUCACCAGAUUUACAGAAACGUUUACAAAGAACUUACUCGACAGUUUGGGUCUGAAGAUGUGCUCCGUUUUGCCCUUGAAUCACAAGAUCAAUCUUUUGAAUCAUCACUGGUAGAAACGCUAACAAAAGAGAUAACAAAGACUUGUAGCCAAACCAGCAUACCAGCUUCUACACAUCUCCCUCCAAUUCAACCUACAGUUGGACAAGACCAAGGAAAGGAAAAGACCAGGAACAAAAUGUUUCCAGUUUGGCUCAAGAUGCCAACAAUCAAAUCGAAGAAACCAAAGAGAGGAUCACAGAGUCUCCUUGUAAGCCAGGCCUCUCCUGUUGCAAACACUAAGCUCAGUGAGACGCUGGCUGAGGUCACCAAGGCUCCUGUAUCUGCUGGCCCACUGGAGAUGCCACAGGAGGAAGAGACCGUAGGGUGCUGUUUCUUCAGGAUGCCGAAAUUCAAGUUCUCCUUCAAGGUGGAGUUCAGUUUCUAUACGAGAUGUUAUUGUAAUUUUAGACAUUAUGUGUACUAAUGCUGAUCAGAGAGGCUACUGAGUGAAGAACACAUUGGUGUAACAUGAUCUGUGAGUAUGCAGUUUAGAUAUUUUUUUAUUCAUUACAAUUUGAAUCUGAAAUGAUUUAAUCUCUCUCUUACUUUAUAAGAAAAUGUGGAAAGGUGCUAAAAUUGGGCAUUGUGACGAUGAUAAGUCCUUCGAAGAGAACAUCAAUGUCUCAGGUAAGUGAAACUGAAAGUCUGAACACAUAAAAAUACAUUAAUUCACUGUAACAUUGAGUAUUCACUAAGUAGACGUACUUGGAAAGUGUUGUUUUUUUCUUCGCCAUCUCUUUUUCAGCCAUCAACAUCUUGUCAGACUCGGCUCAAUGAGGCUACUGCUGAACUGACUGCUUCUGAGAGCCAAACUACCUGGAAGAGACUGCAUCUAGACUGACCAACACAUCUACUCCAGAGAUGGGACUGUCUCACUUAGCUGUUUAAGUCACCGACACAGCUCAAUGAUCCUUUGGAUCAUCGGAUCCUCUAAGAACUCUUCGGUCCUUUCAACUACAUUUUGUUGAACCCCAAUCUGGCUAUUUUAAUUAAACUUAUUAUUGCAUGCAUAUUGGUGUAACUUUGCCAUUUGUUGGGUACUAUAAGGAUGACUACAUACAGUGGCGCUUGAAAGUUUGUGAAUCUGUUAGUUUCUUCAAAGUUCUUGAACAACAGCUUUUAAUUGAUUUUAAUCUCAUAUUAAAAUAUCAAAUCAUAUGAAUCUAACUGUGCUUAAUUGUAAGAUAUGUCACAGGCUUGAAGCUGAAAGGUUAGCUUUGCAUUGUGUUUUGAUGAGAAGUUGAGAUGUCGUAAAUCGGCCAGAUUGUAGUGCGCCCAUGUUCUUAAGGUCUGAAUUAGCGAGAAAUCGUUGGUGAUUCUACAGACAUCCUCGGAUUUAAAUAAUUAUAAUAAUAAUAAAUACAAGAGUAUUUGUAUCA
rnacentral:lncRNA from 1 species